rnacentral:lncRNA from 1 species
UUAAAGAGUUAAAACAAACUUUACCAAUGAAGACAGGAUACCAAGAUGCAAAUGCCUGGUUAAAAUGCAUCAAAUAUUCCAUCUGCACGUUAAACAAAAGCAAUUGUUAUGCUUGUGCACAUGGCAGGCCAGAGGCCCAGAUUGUCCCCUUUCCACUAAGGUGGUCCUCCAGUCGACCAGAUGUGGGCUGCCUGGUAGCUCUUUUCCAGGAUUCUACAGCCUGUAUUAAUAAGUCAUGCCAAGCUCUCUCUGCUAUAUCCCAAAGUCCAGCACCCUGCGGGUCAGCCCCCGAGGGCCAUCCAUCCUCCAUCUCCCAACACUAAGUUCACUUCAUGUCUCUCACAACAGGGAGGAAACUUAGCGUUCCUUGGAGACCUGAAAGGAUGCAGUUAGCUUAAGAAUUUUCAAGAGCUUAUCAAUCAGUCAGCCCUUGUUCAUCCCCGAGCAGAUGUGUGGUGGUAUUGUGGUGGACCUUUACUGGGCACUCUGCCAAAUAACUGGAGUGGCACUUGUACUUUAGUCCAAUUGGCUAUCCCUUUCACCCUGGCAUUUCAUCAACCAGAAGGAAAAAAAGAAAGACAUUGUAAAGCGAGAGAAGCCCCUUAUGGGUCUUUCGACUCUCAUGUCUAUUUAGAUGCAAUUGGAGUCCCACGAAGAAUACCAGAUCAAUUUAAAGCUUGAAAUCAAAUAGCUGCAGGAUUUAAGUCAAUAUUUUAGUGGGUGACAGUUAAUAAAAAUGUAGAUUAGAUAAACUACAUCUAUUACAACCAACAACAACGAGGUUUUCAUGAGUUAAAAGAAAACCUCAUGUUGGUCCCAGCCCUGAGGCUACCUGACCUGACAAAACUCUUUACACUCUAUGUGUCAGAAAGAGAAAAAAUGGCAGUUGGAGUUUUAACCCAUACUGUGAGGCCCUGGCCAAGGCCAGUGGCCUAUCUCUCAAAACAACUAGACAGGAUUUCCAAAGGCUGGCCCCCAGGUCUAAGGGCCCUAGCAGCAACAGCCCUGUUAGCACAAGAAGCAGAUAAACUAACCCUUAGGAAAACCUGAAUAUAAAGGCCCCCCAUGCUGUGGUAACUUUAAUGACUACCAAAGGACCUCAUUGGUUACAAAUGCUAGAUUAACCAAGUACCAAAGCUUGCUAUGUGAAAAUCCCCACAUAACCACUGAAGUUUGCAACACCCUAAACCCCACCACCUUGCUCCUGGUAUCAGAGAGCCUAGUUGAACAUACUGUGUAGAGGUGUUGGACUCAGUUUAUUCUAGCAGGCCCAACCUCCGAGACUAUCCUUAAACAUCAGUAGACUGUGAGGGGUACGUGGACGGGAGUAGCUUCGCCAACCCCUGCAAAGUGACUCUGAAGAAGACGACAAGCUCUGCUCCAGUCACACCCAGAAGCUGACUGGUCCACGCACGGCCGAAGCAUGAGAAAACUCAUUGCGGAACUCAUUUUCCUUAAAAUUUGGACUUUUACAGUAAGGACUUCAACUGACCUUCCUCAGACUGAGGACUGUUCCAGUGUAUACAUCAAGUCACUGAGGCAGAGGACCCUGCGGCCUUCCGCAGUGUUUGUGUCCCUGGGUACUUGAGAUUAGGGAGUGGUGAUGACUCUUAACGAGCAUGCUGCCUUCAAGUAUCUGUGAUGUGAGGAGCGCCUCUGCCCGGCCGCGACCCCGUCUGGGAGGUGAGGAGCAUCUCUGCCCGGCCGCCCCGUCUGAGAAGUGAGGAGACCCUCUACCUGGCAACCGCCCCGUCUGAGAAGAUCUCUGUCGAGAGGCUGGAGUGCAGUGGUGCUAUCACAGCUCACUGCAGCCUCAACCUCGCCAGGCUCAAGCGAUCCUCCCACCUCAGCCUCCAGAGUAGCAGGGACUACAGAGUCAUUCUUAUAGAAGAGCAUCAGAGGAAGAUAAAAAAGAAUCCUCAAUGUCAGGCCCCUGAGCCCAAGCUAAGCCAUCAUAACCCUGUGACCUGCACAUAUACAUCCAGAUGGCCUGAAGCAACUGAAGAACCAUAAACGUGAAAUAGCCAGUUCCUGCCUUAACUGAUGACAUUCCACCAUUGUGAUUUGUUCCUGCUCCACCCUAACUGAUCAAUUGAUCUUGUGACAUUCCUUCUCCUGGACAAUGAGUCUCAGGAGCUCCUCACCAAGCACCUUGUUACCCCCACCCCUGCCCACAAGAGAAAACGCACGUUAACUGUAAUUUUUCCACUACCUACCCAAAUCCUAUAAAACUGCCCCACCCCAUCUCCUUUUGCUGACUCCAGGUGAUUAAAAAACUAUUGCUCAC